rnacentral:rRNA from 1 species
UACGAAGGGGCUAGCGUUGCUCGGAAUCACUGGGCGUAAAGGGUGCGUAGGCGGGUCUUUAAGUUCAGGGGUGAAAUCCUGGAGCUCAACUCCAGAACUGCCUUUGAUACUGAAGAUCUUGAGUUCGGGAGAGGUGAGUGGAACUGCGAGUGUAGAGGUGAAAUUCGUAGAUAUUCGCAAGAACACCAGUCGGCGAAGGCGGCUCACCUG